AAGGAAUAGUUCACUCGAUACCGCCUCCAAUAGUAAAUGUUUCCAGCAUACAUAAGUAUGUGCAGCACAAUGAACCCAAACAAGCUGCAAGAACAAGAAGAAAGAAAGUGUAAGAGAGAAGCAAAUCGUUAGUAUAAACAUAGUAAGCAAAUUAAAUUAGGUUUUACCUGUAAAGAGGGAACAUAAUGUCCAUGUACUGUUUUUGGCCUUGUUCUUGCAGAAUGUUCCGGGUGCGUAUGAUGGCGAAUAGAGCCACUACUAGUGAGAACACACAUCCACCCAAGAAGCCUGAAAAAGUACUUUCUAAAAUUAGAAACUUCUUCCACAAACAAAGAAACCUGAAAGAUUGAAAGAGGAAAGUAUAAUGAAUAUACUGUACCUGUGGAGAAUGUAAUACGAUGUCUCUCUCUUUUAGGUUUGGGUCUCAAGAUGUUCAUUCCUUUUGUUCUGUUAGCAUUGGUGAAAUGCUUUAUGAAGGUAGCUUCAACACGCUCUAUGAGUUUAUUUACCUGUGACAAUGGUGAAGCAAGAGAAUAUCAGUCUUAAGAAGUAUCAGUCAACUUCAUCAAAUAAAAGAGCUUACGUCAUCAGAGCUUCCAAAGCAGGAGUUAUCAACCAUCUUCAU
rnacentral:lncRNA from 1 species